AAACACAUAUGUAGCACGCAUAAGUGGCAUGUGGCAAGUCGUAUUAUAAAGUGUUUGGUAUUAUGAGAAUAAAGAAAAUAAAGAAAAAUUUUUAAGUUGCGUUCUAUAGAUUUAAUUAUAUUUUCAAAAACGUUUCCUGCUACCGGAUGUAAUAAACAGCAAUUUGAAUACGCAAUGAAAGAAAAACGUGGGGUUCUUUAUUUUCUUUGAUUCAGUAGUAAUCUUCAGAUAUAUCAGAAUGUCCCUGAGAGGUCUAAGUUAUUACGAACGACAUUUCUUUCUUACAAACCGAUUAGUUCAAUUAUUGAUUGGUCUGCGGCCUUCUCGAAGUUCGAAAGGGCAGUUGUUUCUUGUUUCUAUUGUAACAAUUUUUUCAUCUCCAACGAUUGUGUAUCAGUUUUAUCAGCUAUUCACGUUGGACAUGACAUUACAAGUCACCAUAAAAAUUCUGCAAAAAAUAUUAUCAGGGAUAUGUAUUCUCUAUGGUUAUAGUACAUCAUACUUUGGCUUCGUAACAAUAAAAUUUAUAAUCGCUCGUUUUAAGGAUGAUUACGAUCAGCUGUCGGAUGAGAAUGAAUUGAAUAUUUUUGAAAAUUAUACAAAACAAAGCAAAUUGUAUAUGUAUGUUAUCAUAGGUUUGUUGAUUUGUUAAACAAAUUUUCCAAUAAAACUUACAUAAUAAUAUGUUUCUUUGCGAUGCUGAUCGUUAUCUUUGAUUUUCUUUAUAUAUUUCAAUUAUCAGAGAUAUUGCAUAAUCCAUUAGAAAUAAUAGAUUGUUGCAUUAUCAUUGUUGGCACAAUUGUAAUCUUAUACCUUAAUUUUUACAUCGGACAAAAACUGUUGGAUCAUGGCAAUGCAAUUUUUGAAGAAUUACGUCAAGUUCCGUUUAAUAAUCUUACCAUAAAAACACAAAAAAUGCUGUUAUUUGUGAUUGCGAGAAGCAUGAAACCAUGCGUACUUUCAAUCGGAGGUAUGUUCAUCUCGUCGUAUGAAGUUUUUUCUAUGGUAAGUAAAAUUAAAUACUCGAUGUUCGAAGUAUUUUGAUAACAUUGAAUCUGUUCUUUUAGUUAAUACAAAAAUCAUUAUCUUUUGCGACUGUAUAUUAUAGUAUUUGUUAACUUAUAUAACUUAUGUUGCAACAAUGAAAUUGUAUUUAUUAAAUAAGAUGUUGAUAGUAAUGAUUAAAA